rnacentral:lncRNA from 12 species
UGUGUGAAUUAAGUUUAUCAACUGUAUCAGAAUGUGGCAUGAACUUCAGACAAAUGUAAAAAUAACUUAUCAAAUUUUUUUUGUCAAUCAGAUCCUCCAUAUAAUGUAAAUGUGGUCACUAAAUACUCAUUGAAAGAGAAUGACUCUGUGGAACUGACCUGCUCCAGUAACAGCAAUCCUCCUGCAAACAGCUACCAGUGGUUCAGCUCAAAUGGGACGAUGUUAGCAGAGAGCCCAACUUCCAGACUGGAGAGAGUGUCUCGACAUACCGAGGCCAUUUCCUGUACAGCCAUUAACACAGAGGGAAAAAACAGUUCUGGUCCACAGAAACUUAAUAUACUUUGUAAGUAUGAAUGAAAGGCCUCGGUUCAACUGUUUAAAAUAGUAUCAUAAGUGAAAGAAGAUCAUUGGUAAUGAUUUAUGAUAACUAAUACUUUAUCUGUCUGUCUGUCUAGAUCCUCCUGAGAUUAAAAGUGAAUCUUCUUGCCAGUCUAAGAUUUUGACGGUUUGUGUCUGUAUUGUGGACUCCAACCCUCCCAGUGAAGUCAAGUGGUUUGGUCCAGAUUCCUCGAAAGCCUUCUCCAGCACCAGCAGUAAACAAAAUGAGUUCACCUUACAGGGCUGGCUGGGUUUCCCUGAGACUGUCCAGUGCUUUGCCAAUAACAGUCUGGGAAGCUCUAACAUAACAUUGGAAACUCCUCAAAAUGGCUUAAUAUACAUUGUUGUUGCAUCAGCAUUUGCAGUUGUUUUAGUCUGUAGUGUUGUGUGUGUUGUGAGAAGACGCUGUGGGAACAGAGCCGCACAACAACCUGUAAUGAUGAAUGAACAGACUCAAAUGAAGACAACCCAAAACAAGUCUGAUUUAAAAAAGUAUAUAUUACAAGUAAUAAUUUUGGAAUCAUUAAUUUUUAUAAUGUUUUCGAAAUAAGGUCUCUUUUAAAAAUAACUGAAUUUAAAAAAAAAAAGUGACGUGACAUACAGCCAAGUAUGGUGACCAUUCUCAGAAUUUGUGCUCUGCAUUUAACCCAUCCAAAGUGCACACACACAGCAGUGAACACACUCCCGGAGCAGUGGGCAGCCAUUUUUGCUGCGGUGCCCGGGGAGUAGUUGGGGGUUUGGUGCCUUGCUCAAGGGCACCUCAGUCGUGGUAUUGACAGCCCGAGACUCAAACCUACAGCUUUCAGCAUCAUUACCACAGCCUUUAGUGUCACGUGAUUCUUCAGAAAUCAUUCUAAUAUGUUGAUUUCCAUAUUAUUGUCAAUGUUGAAACAUUUUUUGCUUAUAUUUCUGUGAAAAAUGUGAUACACAUCAUUCAAAAGUUAGGGGUAACUUUUUUUUUUUUUAAAUAAUACUUUUAUUCAGCAAGGGUGCUUUAAAGUGUUAAAGUCAUUUUGUUACAAACGAUUUAUAUUUCAAAUAAAUGCUAUUCCUUGAAGCUGUCUGUUCAUCAAAGAAUCUUGAAAAAAAGCACCAUGUAUUAAAAAUAAAUAAAUAAAUAAUAAUUAAAAAAAAAUAAGCAGCACAACUGUUUUCAGAAUUGAUGAUAGUAAGAAAUGUUUCAGCAAAUCAGCAUAUUAUAAUGAUUUCUGAAGGAUCGUGUCACACUGAAGACUGGACUAAUGGCUGCUGAAAAGUCCUUGCCAUCACAUGAAUAAAUUAAUUACAUUUUAAAAGAUGUUAAAAAUAGAAAAUAGUUGUAAUGAUAUUUUAGAAUAUUAUUGUUUUCACUGUAUUUUACUGUAUUCCGGUUUGGUGAGCAGACAGAUCUCAUAUCAUAAAACACAACAUUAAAAAUCUUAAUCUUAAUGAUUCCAAACUUUUGACUGUAUAGUGUAUAAUAUAAUGUUUGUUAGAUAACUAUAUAACAAAACCUUUACUGAUGAUUUGUACUGUAUCUAUCAUUUUAUGAAAAGCAGUAAAGAAGAAGAGGGCAGUGAUGGAGACAUUUACACAAACUGCCCAGACAGUCAUGCUUAUGACAACUCGAGGGUGAGUGUGACUUUAUCACUGUUCAAGGAGGUGUUGAUUUUGGGUGUGAGUGUUCUUUGUGUUAUUUACCAUACAAAUGUACUUAAUGGAAACUUUGCACACCAUAUAGCUAUUAAUAUAGCACAUUAAAGAGAAAAGCUAAACUAUGACUAUAAAACAAUACUGCAUGUGACUUAACAUUUAUAAUUAAAAGUGAUAGUAUUUACUGAACUGAAUGUACUUUCCUUGAGAUGUCUGUAACUUAUUUUGGUUUUUUUAUUAGUGUGGUGAGAGACCAUUGUCAUCUGACAGAGCCUUGGAAGAUGAAGCCGUCUAUGCUAACAUGUGAAGAAAAGGACAUGUGCCAUCCUACUAGAAAUGAUAAAUACAGAGAAAGAACAAAGAGGCAAACAAAUGUUUGUUGACUACUGUAGAUAUUAUUAUUCACUGAAGAUGUUCAGAGGUAAAAAUGUCUUGCAACUGAAAACAAAAGUACUGUGUAUGAAUAUCAUAUAU